UGGAGAGUUUGAUCCUGGCUCAGGACGAACGCUGGCGGCGUGCUUAACACAUGCAAGUCGAGCGGUAAGGCCCUUCGGGGUACACGAGCGGCGAACGGGUGAGUAACACGUGGGUGAUCUGCCUCGCACUUCGGGAUAAGCCUGGGAAACUGGGUCUAAUACCGGAUAUGACCUUUCAGUGCAUGCUGUUGGGUGGAAAGAUUUAUCGGUGCGAGAUGGGCCCGCGGCCUAUCAGCUUGUUGGCGGGGUAACGGCCCACCAAGGCGACGACGGGUAGCCGACCUGAGAGGGUGACCGGCCACACUGGGACUGAGACACGGCCCAGACUCCUACGGGAGGCAGCAGUGGGGAAUAUUGCACAAUGGGCGGAAGCCUGAUGCAGCGACGCCGCGUGAGGGAUGACGGCCUUCGGGUUGUAAACCUCUUUCGACAGGGACGAAGCGCAAGUGACGGUACCUGUAGAAGAAGCACCGGCCAACUACGUGCCAGCAGCCGCGGUA
rnacentral:rRNA from 1 species